rnacentral:rRNA from 1 species
UACGAAGGGGGCUAGCGUUGCUCGGAAUCACUGGGCGUAAAGGGUGCGUAGGCGGGUCUUUAAGUCAGGGGUGAAAUCCUGGAGCUCAACUCCAGAACUGCCUUUGAUACUGAAGAUCUUGAGUUCGGGAGAGGUGAGUGGAACUGCGAGUGUAGAGGUGAAAUUCGUAGAUAUUCGCAAGAACACCAGUGGCGAAGGCGGCUCACUGGCCCGAUACUGACGCUGAGGCACGAAAGCGUGGGGAGCAGACGAGG